GUCCUCUGCAGACAUGGCUAAGGAUGUCCCUGGACUCUGACUGCGUGCUGCUGUCAUUGAGGGGCUCCAGGACGUCCUGCGUCCUCCAAAGCGAGGACGAGAAGGAUGACCCCCCUGGAGCGGGAGAGGAGAGUGUCCUGGAGAUGCUGAGCUGCUCCAAGUUCUCCGGGCUGGAGACAUGGCUCUGCAUGCCGUCCUCCUUACUGCUGCCCAGCGGCCCGGACCUCACCCCCACCUCCUCCUCUUCACAUGCAUCCAACCAGCCGACCUCCUCUGCCUCAUCCUCCUCAUCCUCAGCCUCCAACUGCCGUCGCUCCACCUGCAGCGAUCCAGGAGAGACGCUCAGGUCGUGGGACGGCGACUCCUCCCUCCCCCCUCCUGCUCUCCUCCCAGUCUCCUCCACCCCCGCUGGACAGUCCUCCUCCCCCCCCCUCCUCCUCCUCCGCCGGGGGGGGCAUCAGGAAGCGUCGGCGCCUUGCUGCCAGUCCCGGAGGACUCCACUGGAACUCUGCAGAGGGAGCUGUUACUCCAUCAGAGGGAGAGACGAGGGGGGGACAGACAGACAGGAAGACAGAUACCCCCCCUCGUGCUUGCAGCAGUCUCACAGGUUUGGUGCAACGGGACUGGUCACCUGACCCGUCUCCGGUGUCGGGGGAGAACGCAACAGCAGGACGAGGGGCGAGCCCCCCCCCCUGGUGCAGGUAGGCGGGGCCACGUGGGGGGCCGACCGGGCUGCCCUGAGACUCCUGAGUCGGCUGGAGAGAGGCAGGAAGAAGGUCCACGGCAUCCAGUGUGUGAAGAAGCUGCACGAGGAUGCGAUGGAGGAGGAGGAGGAGAACAACACGUGGAGGCGAUGAAAGGAGGUGAGGGAGGAGCAGGAAUGUGCUCCUCCCUCACCUCCCGCUCCGUCGUCUCAGUAAAUAAUUAA
ensembl:lncRNA